UAGGGAAUCUUCGGCAAUGGGGGGAACCCUGACCGAGCAACGCCGCGUGAGUGAAGAAGGUUUUCGGAUCGUAAAGCUCUGUUGUUAAGGAAGAACGAGUGUGAGAAUGGAAAGUUCAUGCUGUGACGGUACUUAACCAGAAAGGGACGGCUAACUACGUGCCAGCAGCCGCGGUAAUACGUAGGUCCCGAGCGUUGUCCGGAUUUAUUGGGCGUAAAGCGAGCGCAGGCGGUUAGAAAAGUCUGAAGUGAAAGGCAGUGGCUCAACCAUUGUAGGCUUUGGAAACUGUUUAACUUGAGUGCAGAAGGGGAGGGUAGAAUUCCAUGUGUAGCGGUGAAAUGCGUAGAUAUAUGGAGGAACGCCGGUGGCGACAGCGGCUCUCUGGUCUGUAGCUGACGCUGAGGCUCGAAAGCGUGGGGAGCGAACAGG
rnacentral:rRNA from 1 species